rnacentral:rRNA from 1 species
GACAGAGGAUGCAAGCGUUAUCCAAAAUGAUUGGGCGUAAAGCGUCUGUAGGUGGCUUUUCAAGUCCGCCGUCAAAUCCCAGGGCUCAACCCUGGACAGGUGGUGGAAACUACCAAGCUGGAGUACGGUAGGGGCAAUGGGAAUUUCCGGUGGAGCGGUGAAAUGCAUUGAGAUCGGAAAGAACACCAAUGGCGAAAGCACUCUGCUGGGCCGACACUGACACUGAGAGACAAAAGCUAGGGGAGCAAACAGG